rnacentral:rRNA from 1 species
UACAGAGGUCUCAAGCGUUGUUCGGAUUCAUUGGGCGUAAAGGGUGCGUAGGCGGCGCGGUAAGUCGGGUGUGAAAUCUUGGAGCUUAACUCCGAAACUGCAUUCGAUACUGCCGUGCUUGAGGACUGGAGAGGAGACUGGAAUUUACGGUGUAGCGGUGAAAUGCGUAGAUAUCGUAAGGAAGACCAGUUGCGAAGGCGGGUCUCUGGACAGUUCCUGACGCUGAGGCACGAAGGCCAGGGGAUCAAACGGG